AUUUAGCAUGAACGAAGAUGAAGUGACAUCGUUCCUCCCAGAUUUCUGUGGAAUUUGUCUCAUGUUUCUAAGUUGCAUUUCAUGUGCGAUAAGACCGACCACUGCAGGGGCGAUUUAAGGCUUUCAGAAGAAAUUGGCUCAUGUUAGAUGUUUCAACCGAAUCCUAUUUGUAAAAUCCUCCCGACUGUGUAUAAAUUACUGUAAUAGUGGAUAUUCUUUGACCCCAGCUGGUUCCUGCUUAAUAGACUGAUUACAUCAUCAACAGAGGAAGGGGAUGCUUUGAAACUACAGCAGAUGCUGAAAUCCACAAACUUCAGAGAAACACAUGAUGUUUGUCAGCGAAAGCAAAGGAAGAUCCGCAAAGACUCGGCAGGUCCAGGUGGAUCUGACAGCUGGCUGUGAUGGAAACUACUGAGGGAGACAGAUCGAAUAAAUGAGAGGAAGGAGAGCAGAGAGGCAGGGAGGAGAGGGUUUGGAAUGCAGCCGAGGAGCCAAAUAAAGGGAUCGGAAAACUAAAACUUAAGGCUGUGCACCAGAUGUUGGAACCUGGCUGCAGGGAUUUGUUCAUAUUCAGCCAUUAGAGAAUCACUGAGGUCCAACUCUGAUGCUGAAAGAUGAAGACUUGGCUUCUUCCCAAAGCUGUUGGACUGGAUCGAGAUCAGGAUCAGGGUUCUGUGCAGAGUUCUUGGAAACCAAACUGGGAAAA